GCCGUUUUGGCUCAGUGGUUAGAGUGUCAGUGUGCGGACUGAAGGGUCUCGGGUUCGAUUCCUGGUAAGGGCA
rfam:Myotis brandtii contig227151, whole genome shotgun sequence.